CAGCCGCCGCGGUAAUACCGAGGGUGCGAGCGUUAAUCGGAUUUACUGGGCGUAAAGCGUGCGUAGGCGGCUUUUUAAGUCGGAUGUGAAAUCCCUGAGCUUAACUUAGGAAUUGCAUUCGAUACUGGGAAGCUAGAGUAUGGGAGAGGAUGGUAGAAUUCCAGGUGUAGCGGUGAAAUGCGUAGAGAUCUGGAGGAAUACCGAUGGCGAAGGCAGCCAUCUGGCCUAAUACUGACGCUGAGGUACGAAAGCAUGGGGAGCAAACAGGAUUAGAUACCCCCGUAGUCCCUGUCUCUUAUAC
rnacentral:rRNA from 1 species